rnacentral:rRNA from 1 species
GUCGCGGUGAAUACGUUCCCGGGCCUUGUACACACCGCCCGUCACACCAUGGGAGUGGGUUGCACCAGAAGUAGAUAGCUUAACCUUCGGGAGGGCGUUUACCACGGUGUGAUUCAUGACUGGGGUGAAGUCGUAACAAGGUAACCCUAGGGGAACCUGGGGUUGGAUCACCUCCUUACCUUAA